rnacentral:sRNA from 1 species
AGCAACUGCAGCCUCCAUGAAACUCUGGCUCUGAGAAAUCCUGGGAGAGACUGAGUGAGCAUGAGGCAGAAAUGUGAGUC